GUGUACCAAUCAUUUUUCUUCUCUUGUUUGAUGUAUAUAAACAAAAAAAACAUAUUUUUAUAGCAAAAAGUAAAAAACAAUUUACUAAAAAACAGCAAAAUGAUUAAAAGAACUAAAAUUUUAAAGAAAAUUAAAAAAUUUAAAACUAGACAAUAAAUAUUUUUAAAACAACACCUUUUUUUUCUUCAAAAACUAUCAUUUUGGUCAAAAACUCCCGCUUCACUUCUUCCGUUUCACAAAUGAAGAUGACAACCUAGACCCACCACCGCUUCUCUUUCCUCUUCCAUUUCGUUCUCACAUACGUAUCUUCUUCCUCUCUCUAACAUCCUCUGAUGAAGAUAAAGAAUCCAUGAAAUAAUCGCAGGUUUUUAAUGUGUAUUUUGAAAGUGAUUAGGCUUCCAGAAUCCAAUCUCUCUCCUCCGCUCUCUCCUCCUUAUUAUAAGACAUCCUUAUAGCCAUAAAUCCUUCUCGGAUUACAACGAACCCUCUUUUCUCAAUUUGUAGGCAUGACGGUUCUGCACUCUUAUUUACCCACCCGUUCAUCCUUUGAUUGUGCAAUGACGGUGGUUCCGAGGACCAUGUAGAAAAUCCUAUGUCGGAGGAAAAGAGGUCCCUUAAUGAAGAAGAUGGUUGGUAUUUCAGUUGGUUUUCUGCUUUUCAUUUCACGUCUAUGUCGUCGUUACCAUAUCCUGGGAAGAAUAUGAUAUUUACUUGAAGAUUGCCUUUUUACUCAAUAAUACACUUCUUCUACUUGAAGAUUGCCCUCUCUCUCUCUCUCUCUCUCUCUCUCUCUCUCUCUCUUCAAACAUGGUUCUUCCUUUUAAUCUUUAUUGUGAUUUGGGUAUGCACCUAUUUCAAGAGAUUAUUCAUCUGUUUUUUCUUGAUCGAUAGAGAAAUUGGUUAGUAUUUUCAAUUUAAUGUUGAUUUUGAUUGGAUUUGUACGAGAUUGAAGACAUCCGUGAGCAUAUUGGUGGAAGAUUUUGAGGGAGCAUGAAAAAGGAAGAAGAAAGAAUACUCGAUGUAUGACCGUUUGUACAGUUGCCUUCUAUAUUUUAGGGUUUUUGAGGUGAUAUCUAUUGUCUCUACCUUUGUUUUCCAUUAUUUCUCAUAAUUAUCAAUUUAAUGUUAUAAUUUAGCUUUAUAAGGUAAACUUUAGUAAUUUUGUAAGCUAUUUUCCAAACGUUCAUGUGCAGCAACCCCAAGAAAACACCCACUAUGUUUUUUUUCUUGUUUUUUUCUUUUUUUCAUUUAUUAUAUAGAAAAGGUUUCAUGUUAGAUUACAUUCUCAUCUAUCAUCAGUUUACUUAGAAUUUGAAGAAAGUGAAUCUAUGUUCUAAGCAAUGUUUUAAAAACCGGUUUGAACCGAUGGUUGGACCGGUUGGACCAAGAACCGGGAAUGGAGCGGUUUAACUAUCAUCGGUUUUACAUUGAUUUAUGAACCGGAUUGAACCGGCUGAUUUUUAGAAAAAACCGGUUGAACCGAUCAAAAUAAACCAGUUGAAUCGAAAAAAAACACAUGAAAAAGAACAAUUUACAUAAUAAACUAUGGUGAUUAUUUUUUCAUAUCUAUUUAGUUUUCUCUAAAUAAAAACAUAUGGUAAAUGUUAUAAAGUUUUUUGUUGUGAUUGUAUUCAUUUAAAACUAUAUUUUGUUCCGGUAUUAUACUUUAUUUUCUUUUUAGCGUAUAUGGAUUGAUGUAAAACACUAAAACUUAUGGUUAUGUGUUAUUUUAAUGUAUUUGGCUUCAUCUACAACUUAUUUUUAUGUGUAUUUUUAAUGUUUGAAUUUAUAAACAUCAAAUUCAUGAAUAGAAAAAAACAUUGGUUAAAAGAGGUUGCUUGAGAAUUUAGCAUGGGCUUUUGUAAGAUUUUUUUAGAAUUAAUGUGGAUUUUUGGAGAGGACACGUCACACGUUAUCAAAAGGAGAAUGCAGAUCCGUUUUGCUGUGGGGUUGGAUUUGCUGCUGUUCCACCGGUUUAAUACACCUGCAUACUCUUGACUUCCAGGCACCACUAUUGUAUUUCUUCUCCAAGAUACCACCCUGGCCCGGUUUAGACCAGGGCAAAAUGGGCAUUAGAACAGGGUCCACAAUUUUAAGGCCCAUUCUUUUUACAGUCUUCAGUCCAAUCCAGUAAUGCAAAUGCAAACCAGACCAUGAUCAUCUGUCACCGCUUACGGGAGAAGGCAAAAGACGCAUCGAGUAUCGACAAUUCAACAUACGACGAACAGAAGCCAAAAACAUCAUGUUUGUCGCUCAAAAGCGAUCGCCAGCAGGAUAGGUUACUAGGUUAGUGACAGGCCGACAUCAACUCAGCGGCAUUGAGUCAUCAUCGACUCAGCAUUCAGCAAGACAGCAAGGGUCGAUUAUCUUUAAUCAGAUGUUUUUUCUAUUACAGCAACAACCACUGGUUGACAUAUGUUUAAUUCCAUUGGUUUGGAUUCUUUGGAAAGGAGAAAGAAAGACAAGAUAAGUCGUCUCAAGCUACUUCCAUCACCCGUACAUGUACCAUUUCUAACCAAGUGUUUCUGAAUCAUCUAUGCAGAUCAAAUGACUAUUUAUUAGGGUUUAUCAUACCUUUUUUUAUUCAUGAGCUUCAACUCUAAUGUGGGUUGCUUUUUGAACUCACGAAAUUGGGUGUGUCUAACUAUUUUUGUGAGUGUAGAAGGUGUUAUACUAUAAACUAUGUUUUGGACUUCUAUGUAAAUGAUUAGGUUUGUUUCUGUUACGAUUGAAGUUUACAUAUUCUGAAAUGUGACCUUGACUAACAAAAUAAUAAUAAAAGAUAAAUUAAAAUCGUUUUUGCAA